rnacentral:rRNA from 1 species
UACAACUAUUGGCAACGGAUCUCUUGGCUCACGCAUCGAUGAAGAACGCAGCGAAAUGCGAUAAGUAAUGUGAAUUGCAGAUUUCAGUGAAUCAUCGAAUCUUUGAACGCACCUUGCACCCUUUGGUAUUCCGAAGGGUACACCUGUUUGAGUGUCAUUAUUAUUCUCAAC